AAGAAGACAUCUGACUUGUCCAAUCCCUCCUUAGGAAGUGUAGAAGAGAACAUUCUUCUCAGCUGCACCUGAGGUUUCACCUGCGGGGCUGCAACUCCGAUGCUGUCUAGGAGUACAGGUGACCCCUAUUACUCCAACCAGAGCAGAUACAUCUGAGCAAUUUAGCAAUGAUGUGACACACACGACGUGGAAGGCAUUGAGAAACCUGCUUAGACCAGGAGACACCAAGUUCAUCGCUUUGCCCCAGCCUUGGACUUCUCCUUGAAAACCAGACCCGUGGGCAGGGCUUCUGGAGAGAUGAGCAUCUUCUUAAACUCAUCCGGCCCACAAACCAUCCCACAGCCCACCUCCUUCCCCGAAACAAGCCACCUGCCUUGAUAACCACGGAAACUGCAGCAACGCAGCGGCACCAACUUGACUUUUUCCCAGCAAGACAACGCACGGCAGCGAUGAUUUUGUGGGUGGAUGUCUCUCUGUCGGAGAGAACGAAGCUUCAGGUGGUCUGAGCCCACAGCCCACCACUUCUGCUCCACUCGGCAUCCUUAGGAGAGGAUGGACACAUAGAGUUUGGGGGGCUG
rnacentral:lncRNA from 1 species